GCCUUGCCGUGGCGGGAAAUGUGACCUCCGGGGCCGUCUGUUUCUUCCUUCACUGACAAGAAAACUGACCAAUGGGGCGGAGAGGAGGCUCGUGAAGUCUGGUCAUUGGGCAGCCGGGCAAGACCGGGAAGCACUGCGUUCUGGGAGUCGUAGUCUUCCCCCUUUUACCGGAUGUUUUGCAGCGUUUUUUCAAGUCGAGGUUCCUUGACCUGCCGCUGAGUGAGGAAAUCGCCUGGCGUUUGGACUGGAAGUAGCCGAAACGUCAGAGAAUCGGAGUUUAUACUCAGGGAGAUAAAAACAUUAAAGCAAAUCGUUUUUUAAAUGUAUUAAACCAAGUGUACUGGAUGUGUUUCCCAAGCAACUGCCCUCAGGUGGAAUUCCGAAAAAACAAAGUGGAUUUUGAGAAUCUGUGGGGUGGAAAUAGAACAAUAGCAUCUUUGGGAAAGGUUCUUUAGUUCAGCGACGCAUUUGCUCUCUGACUACCGUUGCCUGAAAUACCCAUAAACACAUCAGGCCGCGGAGGAGGGCGAAGUGAAAGAAACAUUUUCAGUAUCGUAUCCCGCCCCCCACCUAGAGAUGGCCUCGCGUGUUAUUCUACAAAGGUCUGGACAUAAUUACUACAUCUCUUACUUGCAAAUGGGUCUGGACACCUUCUCUCCUUGAUCGAGUUCUCUGUUCUGCUAACCAAGUGUCUGCUUCAGAAGCCUGAUAACCUCUCUAUCACCAAACACCAACCGGCCGAGACCAAGUGAGCCAUGCAGGUCAGCUCCAGUACCCUGGACAACCUGGAGAAUCAAAGACUCCAACCUCCAGUUUCCCAUCUGAAGCUCUUCAGUGAGGCACAGGUUACCUCACAGUGGGAGAUCAAAUGCAAGGCCACACAACUUCACACGUGCCCAGGUUUGCAGAGGGCCCAGGAGCAAUUGCUGGAUCUUGCCUCCCUUGUCUACAUGUGUUAAUUGGUUUGCUCCCUGAAUUGUUAAUUGUUAUCAUUAAGAAAUAA